rnacentral:rRNA from 1 species
ACUGCCUUUGAAUGGGAAGAAACGCACUUUUGCGAAAGUGUUUGACGGUACUAUUAGAAUAAGCACCGGCUAACUCCGUGCCAGCAGCCGCGGUAAUACGGAGGGUGCAAGCGUUAUCCGGAUUUAUUGGGUUUAAAGGGUGCGUAGGCGGCUUAAUAAGUCUGGGGUUAAAGGCGGCAGCUUAACUGUACGCAUGCCCUGGAAACUGUUAAGCUUGAGUGACUUGGAGGUAGCUGGAAUUCCCUGUGUAGCGGUGAAAUGCAUAGAUACGGGGAGGAAUACCGAUUGCGAAGGCAUGUUACUACGAGUAAACUGACGCUGAUGCACGAAAGCGUGGGGAUCAAACAGGAUUAGAUACCCUGGUAGUCCACGCCGUAAACGAUGAUUACUAGUUGUUGGUCGAAGGAUCAGUGACCAAGGGAAACCGAUAAGU